AAGAAAAUGACUGCUGCCCCGCACAGGGGCGAAGCUAAUAGACCAAUAACAAAGCAAGUUUCACAGGAAGCGCAAAACCAUCAAACGGUGUUAAAAGAAGCGC
rnacentral:sRNA from 1 species